UUUAGUUCUAAUAUUGAAAAUUAUACAGAAACUUACAUUUUAAAAUAACAAACUGUAAAAAAUAGCAAAACAGCAACAAUUUGAUUAUGCUAUUCCUUCUCUUACAAUGUUGCUUUGAACAUGUCCACUAUUUUGAUAUUCUAUUUUGAAUGACCUCCAGGUUAUCACACUGAAGAGAUGGUGUCCCAAAGUGAAUUUAUGGCCCAGGAUGGAGUGUUUCUCUCUCUUGCCUUGUCCUAGACAGUCUUCUUCUACAGAUGCAGUCAAAUAGCUCGGAUGGCAAUCCCAGGUCUGGAUUAAUGCCUGUGUCUGCUGAAAAACAGUGGGACAGACAGUGCUGGUCCAUGGCUGCCUUCAAAAUGCUACUAAAUUUCUGUCUGCCAUAAAGUGGAGAGAAAAAGA
rnacentral:lncRNA from 1 species